rnacentral:rRNA from 1 species
ACGAACGCUGGCGGCGUGCUUAACACAUGCAAGUCGAACGGAAAGGCCCUGCUUUUGUGGGGUGCUCGAGUGGCGAACGGGUGAGUAUCACGUGAGUAACCUGCCCUUGACUUUGGGAUAACUUCAGGAAACUGGGGCUAAUACCGGAUAGGAGCUCCUGCUGCAUGGUGGGGGUUGGAAAGUUUCGGCGGUUGGGGAUGGACUCGCGGCUUAUCAGCUUGUUGGUGGGGUAGUGGCUUACCAAGGCUUUGACGGGUAGCCGGCCUGAGAGGGUGACCGGCCACAUUGGGACUGAGAUACGGCCCAGACUCCUACGGGAGGCAGCAGUGGGGAAUAUUGCACAAUGGGCGGAAGCCUGAUGCAGCAACGCCGCGUGCGGGAUGACGGCCUUCGGGUUGUAAACCGCUUUCGCCUGUGACGAAGCGUGAGUGAUGGUAAUGGGUAAAGAAGCACCGGCUAACUACGUG